rnacentral:rRNA from 1 species
GUCGCAAGACCAAAGUGGGGGACCUUCGGGCCUCAUGCCAUCAGAUGUGCCCAGAUGGGAUUAGCUAGUAGGUGGGGUAACGGCUCACCUAGGCGACGAUCCCUAGCUGGUCUGAGAGGAUGACCAGCCACACUGGAACUGAGACACGGUCCAGACUCCUACGGGAGGCAGCAGUGGGGAAUAUUGCACAAUGGGCGCAAGCCUGAUGCAGCCAUGCCGCGUGUGUGAAGAAGGCCUCGGGUUGUAAAGCACUUUCAGCGGGGAGGAAGGCGGUGGAGGUUAAUAACCUCAUCGAUUGACGUUACCCGCAGAAGAAGCACCGGCUAACUCCGUGC